rnacentral:lncRNA from 1 species
UGAAGGUGAUUUAAGUCACAUCCAUCGGCUACAAAAUCUGACAAUAGACAUUUUAGUCUACGAUAACCAUGUUCAUGUGGCAAGAUCUCUGAAGGUUGGAAGCUUUCUUAGAAUCUAUAGCCUUCAUACCAAACUUCAAUCAAUGAAUUCAGAGAAUCAGACAAUGUUAAGUUUAGAGUUUCAUCUUCAUGGAGGUACCAGUUACGGUCGGGGAAUCAGGGUCUUGCCAGAAAGUAACUCUGAUGUGGAUCAACUGAAAAAGGAUUUAGAAUCUGCAAAUUUGACAGCCAAUCAGCAUUCAGAUGUUAUCUGUCAAUCAGAACCUGACGACAGCUUUCCAAGUAAGGAUAAUCUUUAACAUUGACAGUUUAGUUCUUGCUAAAUAAAAUAGUUUUAUCAACAUAA